rnacentral:rRNA from 1 species
UACGUAGGGGGCAAGCGUUAUCCGGAAUUAUUGGGCGUAAAGAGUACGUAGGUGGCAACCUAAGCGCAGGGUUUAAGGCAAUGGCUCAACCAUUGUUCGCCCUGCGAACUGGGAUGCUUGAGUGCAGGAGAGGAAAGCGGAAUUCCUAGUGUAGCGGUGAAAUGCGUAGAUAUUAGGAGGAACACCAGUGGCGAAGGCGGCUUUCUGGACUGUAACUGACACUGAGGUACGAAAGCGUGGAGAGCAAACAGG